CAAUCGAACUCGGAGAUAGCUGGUUCUCCCCGAAAUAGCUUUAGGGCUAGCGUCGGAUAUGUGUAGUGGAGGUAGAGCACUGAAUGGGCUAGGGGGCAUAUCGCUUACCGAACCUUAUCAAACUCCGAAUGCCAUAUACAUUAAGUCCGGCAGUCAGACUACGAAUGAUAAGAUCCGUGGUCAAAAGGGAAACAGCCCAGACCGUCAGCUAAGGUCCCAAAGUGUAAGUUAAGUGGAAAAGGAUGUGGGAUUUCUAAGACAACUAGGAUGUUGGCUUAGAAGCAGCCACUCAUUUAAAGAGUGCGUAAUAGCUCACUAGUCGAGAGAUCCUGCGCCGAAAAUGUACCGGGGCUAAACUUACCACCGAAGCUACGGAUUUGCAAGUAAUUGCAAGUGGUAGGGGAGCGUCGUAAUCGGGCUGAAGUCGUACCGUAAGGAGCGGUGGACUGAUUACGAGUGAGAAUGUUGGCAUUAGUAGCGAGAUGUAGGUGAGAAUCCUACAGGCCGAAUAUCUAAGGUUUCCUCAGGAAGGCUCGUCCGCUGAGGGUUAGUCGGGACCUAAGCCGAGGCCGAAAGGCGUAGGCGAUGGACAACAGGUUGAUAUUCCUGUACCACUACCAUCGUUAUUAUCGAGGGUGUGACGGAGAAGGAUAGUGUGUGCUAGCGAUUGGAAAUGCUAGUCUAAGCGUUUAGGGAGUUACGGUAGGCAAAUCCGCUGUAACAAUUCUGAGGCGUGAUGGGGAAGGUCAUUAAGACCGAAGUACAUGAUUCCAUGCUUCCAAGAAAAGCAUCUAGAGAGAGAAGUAGUGCCCGUACCGCAAACCGACACAGGUAGAUGAGGAGAGAAUCCUAAGGCCGGCGGAAGAAUUGCAGUUAAGGAACUAGGCAAAUUGACCCCGUAAGUUCGCGAGAAGGGGUGCCUGCGAGAGCAGGCCGCAGAGAAUAGGCCCAAGCAACUGUUUAGCAAAAACACAGGUCUCUGCUAAAGCGUAAGCUGAUGUAUAGGGGCUGACGCCUGCCCGGUGCUGGAAGGUUAAGGGGAACACUUAGCGCAAGCGAAGGUGUGAACUUAAGCCCCAGUAAACGGCGGCCGUAACUAUAACGGUCCUAAGGUAGCGAAAUUCCUUGUCGGGUAAGUUCCGACCCGCACGAAAGGCGUAACGAUUUGGGCACUGUCUCAACAACAGACUGGGUGAAAUUGUAAUACCGGUGAAGAUGCCGGUUACCUGCGACAGGACGGAAAGACCCCAUGGAGCUUUACUGUAGCUUGACAUUGAGUCUCGGUGCUACAUGUACAGGAUAGGUGGGAGACUAUGAAGCAUGGACGUCAGUCUGUGUGGAGUCAUCCUUGGGAUACCACCCUUGUAGUACUGGGAUUCUAACCAGAGGCCAUGAAUCUGGUCUUGGGACACUGUCAGGUGGACAGUUUGACUGGGGCGGUCGCCUCCCAAAAAGUAACGGAGGCGCUCAAAGGUUCUCUCAGUACGGUCGGAAAUCGUACGUAGAGUGUAAAGGCAGAAGAGAGCUUGAUUGCAAGACAUACAGGUCGAGCAAGGACGAAAGUCGGACUUAGUGAUCCGGUGGUACCGCAUGGAAGGGCCAUCGCUCAACGGAUAAAAGCUACCCUGGGGAUAACAGGCUUAUCUCCCCCAAGAGUCCACAUCGACGGGGAGGUUUGGCACCUCGAUGUCGGCUCA
rnacentral:rRNA from 1 species